rnacentral:lncRNA from 1 species
UCUCUUUUUUAGAUCUAAUUGAGGGCUUUGAUCCUGAUUAGAAGAAGCAAAGAUCUAAGGAUCAUGUCACGUGCCGAAAAUCAUGAUUUUUGGAUUUGACUGAUGGUAAAUAUUCUUUCAUCUCUAAGUUUUUUAAUGCAUAUUUAUGUGUUUAAAAAUUAGCUUUUAUACAUAAAAAUUAUUAAAAUAAUUAAAAAUCAGAAAG